rnacentral:rRNA from 1 species
AAUGAACGUUGGCGGCGUGGAUUAGGCAUGCAAGUCGUACGGUAAGCUUCGGCUUAUAGUGGCGAAAGGGAGAGUAACGCGUGGUUACAUGCCCUCGAGACCGGGAUAGCGGCGGGAAACUGGCGGUAAUACCGGAUAAUAUCUUUGGAUCAAAGGUGUGAUUCCGCCCGAGGAUUGGACCGUGGUCUAUGAGCUUGUUUGCGGGGUAAUGGCCCACCAAGGCGUCGAUGGAUACCGGGGGUGGGAGCAUGGCCCGGCUCACUGGGACUGAGGCACUGCCCAGACACCUACGGGUGGCUGCAGUCGAGAAUCUUCGGCAAUGGGGGCAACCCUGACCGAGCGACGCCGCGUGCGGGACGAAGGCCUUCGGGUUGUAAACCGCUGUCAGUUGGGAGGAAGUGCCGGGGGGUUCUCCCCUCGGUUUGACCGAUCUUCAGAGGAAGACGGGCUAAGUUCGUGCCAGCAGCCGCCGUAA